CUUGAUGGAGCCCAGCCACAGCGGCCGGCCCUCCUCCCGGCCCUGGCCGUAGGUCGCCAGCAGCGCCUGCGCCUC
rnacentral:antisense_RNA from 1 species